CGCUAACUUUGACUUUCGAUUUCAAGUACAAUGUAUUUCAUAAAAUACGUUGUAACUUACAACGCAGAAGGUUUAAUCAGAUAGGAAGCAAAGAAUGCAAUCCAAGACAUGAAGUGCCCAAAACAGGACUGUGGGACUGAAGGCCCUGGGAAAUUCUGUCACAAAUGUGGCGCUAAGAGAAUAACAGAAGAAGAGAUUCUUCUGAGCAAACCAGACGUGAUUAUAUGUUCGGGGACAGAUGAGGAUGGAAAGCAAUGUGGAUCACCUCUAAAACCAGAUCAGACGUUUUGCGAAAAUUGUGGAGCAAACGUUGUGGAAUUGGUCAAAAAUAGCUGCUGUGCAACAUGUGGUAGUGUCUUAACCCCCGGAAGUACCUGCCUUAAAUGCAAAUCAGUUGUAAAUCAAGAUACAUUAGUACCGCUGGAAAGUUUACAAGCAUGUGAAGGUUCACCGUUUUCCUCUACGCCAACACCUGAAAAGGAUUAUUCUGAAAAAAAGGAUCCU